UCCCGUGUGGCUCAGUUGGUAGAGCAUGGUGUUUGCAACGUCAAGGUUGUGGGUUUGAUUUCCCACGGGGG
rnacentral:tRNA from 1 species